ensembl:lncRNA
UUAAUUCGGUUAUUAAUCUACAUUACAAAUACAUGUAGAAUUAGAUCAAAUUUUAUAUGCUCUGAGAAAGCUUACCAUUCAAGGGAAACCUAAGGUGAAUGUGUAUAGAAGUGUAAAGAGUGAAAGGCAAUUUGUUUAAUUUUUGAUUUGCUGAAAUUUCUGAAUUUUUUUUUUUUUUUAAACUUUCUAUGGACCCUGGAAGAAGACACUUGGGAGAUAUUUUAAAUGUAGAACUACAGAGAUCUACAGAUCACAUUUGAUCUACAGUGUAUUCUUUACCAUGGGGGCCACCUGGGAAGCCCAAAAUCAAGGGAGGAGCAGCCAAGAAACCACCUGAGGCAAGAGUAAAGGGACUGAAGUUCAUCAAGACUAGGAGACCUGCAACCUGAGACGCACACGCUCUGUUCUCAUCAGCAGCCCCACCCUCAAACUUCUGCUAUAAAACUCCUCAACAAAUCCUCCUGGGUUACCUUACUUUUCAAGGUAAGAGCUCCCUGUCCCUCUUUGCCUGGCAAAACAAUAAAGCUAUCCUUUUUUGGGGGCUUCCCUUGUGGCUCAGAUUCUGAAGAAUCUGUUUGCAGUGCAAGAGAUCUGGGUUCUAUCCCAGGGUUGAGAAGAUCCCCUGGAGAAGGAAAUGGCAACCCACUCCAGUAUUCUUGCCUGGUGAAUCCCAUGGGCAGAGGAGCUAACUCCAUUGCUGAGGUGAGAUUUGGCAUCAGUGCACACGUGUACAGAAAAGCUCGGCUUUCAGCAUCACUUUGUUGUUGUUCAGUCACUAAGUUGUGUCCAGCUCUUUGCCACCCCAUGGACUGCAGCAUUCCAGGCUUCCUGGUCCUUCACCAUCUCCUGGAAUUUGCUUAGAUUCACGUCCAUUGAGUUGAUAAUGCUAACUAUCUCAUCCUCUGCUGCCCUCUUCUCCUGUCUUCAGUCUUUCCCAAUACCAUGGUCUUUUCCAGUGAGUCAGGUCUUUACAACAGGUGGCCAAACUAUUGAUUCAGCUUUAGUCCUUACAAUGAAUAUUCAGGGUUGAUUUCCUUUAGGAUUGACAGGUUUGAUCUCCUUGCAGUCCAAUGGAUUUUUAAGAGUCUUCUCCAGC